GACGAACGCUGGCGGCGUGCUUAACACAUGCAAGUCGAACGGAAAGGCCCUGCUUGCAGGGUACUCGAGUGGCGAACGGGUGAGUAACACGUGGGUGAUCUGCCCUGCACUUCGGGAUAAGCCUGGGAAACUGGGUCUAAUACCGGAUAGGAGCCAUUUUUAGUGUGAUGGUUGGAAAGUUUUUUCGGUGUAGGAUGGGCUCGCGGCCUAUCAGCUUGUUGGUGGGGUAAUGGCCUACCAAGGCGGCGACGGGUAGCCGGCCUGAGAGGGUGGACGGCCACAUUGGGACUGAGAUACGGCCCAGACUCCUACGGGAGGCAGCAGUGGGGAAUAUUGCACAAUGGGCGCAAGCCUGAUGCAGCGACGCCGCGUGGGGGAGGACGGCCUUCGGGUUGUAAACUCCUUUCGCUAGGGACGAAGCUUUUUGUGACGGUACCUAGAUAAGAAGCACCGGCUAACUACGUG
rnacentral:rRNA from 1 species